rnacentral:rRNA from 1 species
UACGUAGGGAGCAAGCGUUGUCCGGAAUCAUUGGGCGUAAAGCGCACGUAGGCGGUUUGUUAAGUCGGGUGUGAAAGCCCUGGGCUCAACCCAGGAAGUGCACUCGAAACUAGCAGGCUUGAGUAUGGAAGAGGGUCGCGGAAUUCCCGGUGUAGAGGUGAAAUUCGUAGAUAUCGGGAGGAACACCAGUGGCGAAGGCGGCGACCUGGGCCAAUACUGACGCUGAGGUGCGAAAGCGUGGGGAGCAAACAGG